AGUGUGUGUGUGUGUGUGUGUGUGUGUGUGUUCACAGCAGGUUUCUGAACCACAAUCCACACACACACACACACACACACACACACACA
rnacentral:miRNA from 14 species